rnacentral:rRNA from 1 species
AAGGGCACCACAAGAACGCGUGGAGAUGUGGUUAAUUUCACUCAACGCGAGAAAUCUUACUGGGUCCGUACACACUGAGGAUUGACAUUCAAUAUUAAAAAAAUUGAAUAUAUUUAAUUAUAUAUUUUAAUUUUUUUAUGUUAAAUAUGCUAGUCCUUUCAUGAUUAUGUGAUAGGUGGUGCAUGGCCGUUUCUUAGUUCGUGGAGUGAUCUGUCUGCUUUAAUUGCGUUUCACUAAGGGCUUAUAUUUAUAAUACGUGUGUUGACGGGCACUUUUGACCCCUUUAUGUUGCAUUGAAAUAUAUGUGAUAUAAAUGUGCGUGUCUUAGUAUUUAGCUUAGUCUCGCACAAAUGUAGUCCUGAAAGCAACGAACGUGACCGCAACCUCUUGUUGCCUUUUCAAUUACACAACAUUUUAACAUUUUAUAUGUUAUUAUGUUAAAAAAAAGGCCUUUAAACUAGAGGGACCCGCUGUAAUCUUUUUAAAACCAGAGGAAGGUUGCGGCAAUAACAGGUCUGUGAUGCCCUUAGAUGUUCCGGGGCUGCACACGUGCUACAAUGAUUAUUGCAGUGAGCAUCCCAUUUUUUACACACUGUAGUGCGAGUCCAUUUAUUGACUUAACAUUCACGUUAAUGUACUUUAAAUGUGUUACUUUGCGCACAGUAAAGCCUGCUUCGAAAGUAAGUGGGUAAUCAAUUAGAAGUAAUGAUUUCCCGUAAAUAUAAAUUUAUUUUAUAUUUAAUAGCACACAUAUAUACGGCAUCUUUACCCAACGCACAGCUUGUCUGUCGUUUUGUGUGUAUUGAUGUAACAAUUUUCCGUAUGUGCAAUUGUCAAUUCAUGGUGGGGACAGACCAUUGUUAAUUGUUGGUCUCGGUCUUAACUAGGAAUGCCUUGUACGGGUCUUUGGUUCAACAAACCACCCGGAAUACGUCCCUGCCCUUUGUACACACCGCCCGUCGCUCUUACCGAUGGACUUCUCUGUGAGUUUGAGGGACUGGGUUAAUUUAUUAAUAAUUAAAUUUAUUUAAUUUUAAUAUCCUCUGGAAACUUAAACGAACAGUGUGGUCUAAAGGAAAGAGAAGUCGAACAAGGCA